rnacentral:lncRNA from 1 species
AAUUAUAUGUUGCAGGAGAUUCAAAUUUUAAUUGACGUAGUAAUAAAAUCUUUACUAUUUAGCUAACCGAGAAACACAACAAAUAUUUUUAUUACAAUUAAUAUGAAAUUAUGCCAAAAAAGUCAUGAAAAGUAAUUAAAAUUUUAGUUGACAAUCAUAAGACCAUCAUAAGUCAUAUCGCGAGAGGUCUUAAGUUUACGACAAAAGUUAUGACAAAUCGUAACUUAGGACACUUUCGAAAACAUAUCUUACGACUAUGACAUGUCCUAAGACCAUCAUAAGGCAUGUCUUAGUCAUAAGAUACUUUCGAAAACCAGGCCCC